UUGUCCCACGCGUACAGUGCGGUUCUGAGCGCACGGCCCGCCCCACCUGACGACUGCUCGCACCGUGUUGUCAGCC
rnacentral:sRNA from 2 species